UACGUAGAUGGCAAGCGUUGUCCGGAAUUAUUGGGCGUAAAGCGCGCGCAGGCGGUCCUUUAAGUCUGAUGUGAAAGCCCACGGCUCAACCGUGGAGGGUCAUUGGAAACUGGGGGACUUGAGUGCAGAAGAGGAAAGUGGAAUUCCACGUGUAGCGGUGAAAUGCGUAGAGAUGUGGAGGAACACCAGUGGCGAAGGCGACUUUCUGGUCUGUAACUGACGCUGAGGCGCGAAAGCCAGGGGAGCGAACGGG
rnacentral:rRNA from 1 species